GAUGAACGCUGGCGGCGUGCCUAAUACAUGCAAGUCGAACGAACAGACGCUGAGCUUGCUCCUCGCACGUUAGCGGCAGACGGGUGAGUAACACGUGUAUACCCUACCUGUCAUACUGGGAUAUCUACGGGAAACCGGCGCUAAUCCCGGAUAAUCUAUUGAAGCACAGGGUUCGAUAGUGAAAGACGGUUUUGCUGUCACUUAUAGCUGCAUCCGAGCUGCUUUAGCUAGUUGGUAAGGUCACGGCUUUCCAAGGCAACGAUGCGUAGCCGACCUGAGAGGGUGAUCGGCUACACGGGAACUGAAACACGGUCAAGACGCCUACGGGAGGCAGCAGUAGGCAAUCUUCGGCAAUUGGCGAGAGCAUGGCGGAGCAGUGCCGCGUGAGUGACGAAAGUCUUGGGAUCGUGAAACUGGGUUAUGAGGGAAGAACAAAUGUGUAAGUAAAUAUGCACGUCUUGACGGUACCGAAUCAGAAAGCCACGGCUAACUACGUG
rnacentral:rRNA from 1 species